rnacentral:rRNA from 1 species
CACGUAGGGUGCGAGCGUUGUCCGGAAUUAUUGGGCGUAAAGAGCUCGUAGGCGGUGUGUCGCGUCGGCCGUGAAAACCUGCAGCUUAACUGUGGGCUUGCGGUCGAUACGGGCAGGCUAGAGUUCGGUAGGGGAGACUGGAAUUCCUGGUGUAGCGGUGAAAUGCGCAGAUAUCAGGAGGAACACCGGUGGCGAAGGCGGGUCUCUGGGCCGAUACUGACGCUGAGGAGCGAAAGCGUGGGGAGCGAACAGG